UGGUGGAGCGAUUUGUCUGGUUAAUUCCGAUAACGAACGAGACUCUAGCCUAUUAAAUAGUUCGCCGAUUUUUCGAGUCGGCGUCAACUUCUUAGAGGGACAAGGUGUCGCAUAGGCACGCGAGAUUGAGCAAUAACA
rnacentral:rRNA from 1 species